UACCCCCUGCGUGACUGGCGAUACGACCUUUCGGGGUCAAGGUGGAGCAUCCCACCGUGAAGCGCGGGGCGUCGCUUUUGCCGUUCGCCUGGGCAGCCGUU
ncrna:Burkholderia thailandensis E264 ZMP/ZTP riboswitch